GGAGAGAUGUCCGAGCUGGCCUAAGGAGCACGACUGGAAAUCGUGUGGGGCGAAAGCCCUCGGGGGUUCGAAUCCCCCUCUCUCCG
rnacentral:tRNA from 1 species